GAAUUCCUUUUGUACUAUUGCUCAUUCGCUUUUGUUAAUCAAAGCCUUUGAAUCCUGAAGAGCAGAAAUUCUCUCUAAACAGAAAGAUGGAAACUAAAGCACAUUUAUUCUUCCAGGCAGAAGAAAAUAUUGACUUAUUAGAUAAGGGAUCUAAUUCUUUCACAACCAUCUUGCCAUCAAGAAAUACUGCAAACAAGAAAUACAUCAAAUUUUCUAAAACAAUUGAGAAGAAAAAUUCAUCUGAAAUUAAGAAUUUGAGCCUAGAAUGCAAGAAAAAGUAUGAAGCCUCACUAUUCAUAUGUAGAGAAGAAAAAUCUGAGUUUUCAGGAGAAAAAAAAGUCCGGAGAAAGAAAAGUUUGCAAGUUCAUCUGCAUAGUAAAAGAACUGAAGUAAAUAAGGAUUUGGAAAAUGUACUUUUACCUCAGCCUGGAGUUGAGAAAGGGAAACCAUUUAGUCUUUCAGUGGGGCCUGGAGUUGAGAAAGGGAAACCCUUUAGUCUUUCAGUGGGGCCUGGAGUUAAGAAAGAGAAACCAUAUAGUCUUUCAGUGGGGGUCGCCCCUCCCUCUGUGAAGCUGCCCAAGGAGAUAGCUAGGAAAGAAAGCCUUUUGUGCAAGUUGCCAAAGCAAUACAACAUUCAGAGGACUUCAUUACCUCUUCGUAUAUCUUCAAUUUUUCGGAAAAAGGAAAUGCCUUCUAACCUCUACCUCACAUUGUAUGAAGAAGUACCCCAUGGAUAUUUAUACGCAGAAGAAUUAAGUGCACUUCAUAGAGCCUGUAUAAUUUUUAGCAAAAUUCGAAAUGGUAAGAUUUAUGUGAACGAUCUGCCACUGGUCUUUGCUACCUUGAAGAUUUCUAUAAGUGAUUCAGACAUGCUACAGGCACUAAAGAUUGUUGAUAUUGAUGUUAAUGGAAUGCUGGAUUUUUCAGAUUUCCUUAAGACUCUGAAUGAUGGCUCUUAUUUGGUCUCCCAGGAUCCAGGUAAAAAGAAUAUUUGUCCAGAUUAUAAAAGAACGAUUUUGAUAGCAAUUGAUUUUAAGGUAGGGGUGUAUAUAUUAAUUUAUCUUCUCUACAGUCCCCUUCCCCUUUAACCUCAGUAGUGUGGGUUGGGAAAAUUGCAUGCCUUUUUUUUUUUUUUUUUUCAUAAAAGGCAUGAAAAAACCCUGGAUUAUUGUCACAACAUCCUAACUUUUUAUCACCAGUCUCCAGUUUUAUCUGCAUCAAAUUGCUAUGCACUGAUUCUCUUAAGCCACCAUUUUUGUCAUACCAUGUUCUUGCUCAAGAAUUUAUAUAUAUGUUCUGUUACCAAGUAAAUGUAAUUUAAGCGCUUAUGCUAAGCUUCCCACAGAAUCUUUCCCAGGCAGGAACUCCAUACUCCAGUCAAUCUUUAAUCUCUGUAUAUGUCACUCUUACUUCAUGUUUUGUUCUUUCAUCUUUGUGUGUGUUUCCUGUUGAAGUCUCACAUUUCUUUUCUCCUCCACUCUUGAUAGUGCUUUCUUCCCUCUGUCCAGAAUCAGCUUGUUUUGCUCCCUAAAAAAUUCAGAUACUUAUUGGUCUCCUAGUAGUUCACAUUACAAAUAAAUUAUAAAUAUAGUGAUUUAGAGUAUUCAUGUUAAUGAUCUAAACACCGUGCUACUUCCAAAAAUUUGAGCCAAGC
rnacentral:lncRNA from 1 species